UCAAACGCCCCCUGCCGCCCUCCGCCAUUGGCUGCCUCCGCGGUGACGUAGCAUCGCGUGAUUGGGUGCCGCGCCACCCGAAUGCGGGCGGGCUCCGAAAACUCGGCCGCCGAGUCCAAAGUCUCGCGAGAGGCGCGGGGCACGCUGGGAGCGGCGGCUGGCCCCUGCCCCACAGUGAUGCCAGCCCGCCUGCUUCCCCCCGAGCUCAUCCCCCCCCUUGACUUCUCCUUCUUCCCACUGCGUUCCCUGCAGGAUCUGAGCCCCGAGGGCAGCCCUUCUCCCACCCUGGCCCUCCGCCUGCCCUACACCGGGCUGAGCAACCUGGUGGGGCUGCAGCCCACCCUGCAGCAGCUCCUGGCCAACCCCACACAGCUCCGUUGGCUCGACCUCUCCUUCAACUGCCUGACCACCAUUGACCAGGUGCUGACCACGCUGGGGGGGCUGCAGAGCCUCUACCUGCACGGGAACACCAUCAGCUGCCUGAGUGAGGUGGACAAACUGGGAGCUCUGAGCCAGCUGCACCGCCUGACGUUGUAUGGGAACCCUAUGGAGGAGGAGAGGGGCUACAGCUUCCCCCACAGGUGCUACGUGCUGGCCCUGCUGCCCCAGCUCAGCACCCUGGAUUUCAGUGCUGUGACCCCGCAGGAGCGCAGGGAGGUGGCUGUGUGGGGAGGCAUCCGCAGGCAGCCCCGACCCCACCGAGCUUCGGAAUGAGAGCACCCCCCAGUCUUUGGGCAGGAAGAGGAGCAGCAGGUGGAGGGGGUGCCAGAAACCACCUGGGAGCACCAAGAUGUUUCCACCCGGUGCCCAGCGACCCAGUGGAACAGAGAGGAGGCAGGGGCGGGCUGGAUGUGUUUAUCUGCGGUGGCAGAAGAAGAAUAAUUAAAACAAAACCAAAAAGAAAACCAUAUAAACCAGGAGAGGGCAGAAGAAGCCACUGGAAGGUCUCCUCCGGGAGCAUCCAGCUCCUGCCUGCCCUUCCCAGGGUGGGAGGCAACACCAGACCCCCAGCAAUGAGGAUGCAGCCCCCCUCCCCACUGCCUCCCCAUGCAUACAGUGGGGGAAAAAGCCACAGGGGCAGCGCUGGGGGGGGGGAAGGGAGGUUGUGAGACCACCAUCAUUUUGUGGGCGAUUCAUAGGAAACGGGGCGUAUGUACAAGUUCUGUGCUGUGGGAACGGGGUGGGAAA